UACGUAGGGUGCAAGCGUUGUCCGGAAUUAUUGGGCGUAAAGAGCUCGUAGGCGGUCUGUCGCGUCUGCUGUGAAAACUCAGGGCUUAACCCUGAGCUUGCAGUGGGUACGGGCAGACUAGAGUGCGGUAGGGGAGACUGGAAUUCCUGGUGUAGCGGUGAAAUGCGCAGAGUAUCAGGGAGGGAACACCGGUGGGCGAAAGGCGGGGUCUCUGGG
rnacentral:rRNA from 1 species